rnacentral:lncRNA from 1 species
ACAAAGCCAUAAAAGUAGGGCACACUUUCACACCUAGUGAUAUACAAAGCCAUAAAUGUAGGGCACGCUUUCACACAUGAAAGGUUGAUAUACGAUUUAUUAUCUAUCAUGAAACAAGAAGGUGUAUAUCAUUCGACGAAAUGAAAGAAAUUCACAAUCAUAAUACAUGAGUAUAUAAACUAAAAUCUUAAUCAUUGUUCUCAUAGAGCAGACAACGUAAGACUCCACAA